AUUGAACGCUGGCGGCAGGCCUAACACAUGCAAGUCGAGCGGCAGCGGAAAGUAGCUUGCUACUUUGCCGGCGAGCGGCGGACGGGUGAGUAAUGUCUGAGAAACUGCCUGAUGGAGGGGGAUAACUACUGGAAACGGUAGCUAAUACCGCAUGACCUCGAAAGAGCAAAGUGGGGGAUCUUCGGACCUCACGCCAUCGGAUGCGCCCAGAUGGGAUUAGCUAGUAGGUGAGGUAAUGGCUCACCUAGGCGACGAUCCCUAGCUGGUCUGAGAGGAUGACCAGCCACACUGGAACUGAGACACGGUCCAGACUCCUACGGGAGGCAGCAGUGGGGAAUAUUGCACAAUGGGCGCAAGCCUGAUGCAGCCAUGCCGCGUGUGUGAAGAAGGCCUUAGGGUUGUAAAGCACUUUCAGCGAGGAGGAAGGCAUCAUACUUAAUACGUGUGGUGAUUGACGUUACUCGCAGAAGAAGCACCGGCUAACUCCGUGCCAGCAGCCGCGGUAAUACGGAGGGUGCAAGCGUUAAUCGGAAUUACUGGGCGUAAAGCGCACGCAGGCGGUUUGUUAAGUCAGAUGUGAAAUCCCCGCGCUUAACGUGGGAACUGCAUUUGAAACUGGCAAGCUAGAGUCUUGUAGAGGGGGGUAGAAUUCCGGGUGUAGCGGUGAAAUGCGUAGAGAUCUGGAGGAAUACCGGUGGCGAAGGCGGCCCCCUGGACAAAGACUGACGCUCAGGUGCGAAAGCGUGGGGAGCAAACAGG
rnacentral:rRNA from 1 species